GCUCGCAUGGUGAAAUUGGUAGACACAGCAGACUUAAAAUCUGCCCCAUUACUGGGAUGCCGGUUCAAGUCCGGUUGCGGGUA
rnacentral:tRNA from 1 species